GUCGGAGUGGCGGAAUGGCAGACGCGCACGUUUGAGGGGCGUGUGGGGUAAUCCCGUGCGGGUUCAAGUCCCGCCUCCGACACCA
rnacentral:tRNA from 1 species